rnacentral:lncRNA from 10 species
AUUUAAAUGCUAUUUUAACUGCCAGAGAGAAAUCUACUAUUAGUGGCUCAUAGUGAUGUAGUUUAGAGAAGCUUAACCAUGGUGACUCUAUAUGGAUACCUUAUACAACAAAAUUAAUAAGGCACAGAUCAUACAAUCUUUGAGAGUAAAAGGAUGGAUCAAGACCACAGGAAAGAAGGGAUGAAGCUGUGGAGAGUGAGGAUGAGGAACAUUGCAGAUGACUGGAGGCCAGCUCCCUGACCUUCCCCUACUGCCACUGCUGCAGGCCCUGGUCAGGGGAAGUAAAACUGACACUAGCUGUUUAUCAUGCUUUAAGACCAGAAAGUAAAAUGAAAACCAUUACCACCUCUCAGGAUGCAAGAAGGCACAAGAAAGGACUAAACCAGUUGAAGAUGUUAUCUCAAUGGAAGAAGGAAUCCUAAUUAAAUUGAAGUCUUAACAAAAAGACGGUCUAUUUCACAAGACUGAUAGAGACAUAUACUUGAUGAGUCAACUUGGUCUUUUCAAGGCUUUACUCUGGCUUCUCUUCUAUUUAUGUGUACGAUUAGAAGGAUAAACAGCCUAUAAGAGCUUGCUAUCUACCAAAUCCAACCAUGCAGUCUUAAAAAUUACUUCUGGGUUUACAGAUAAUUCUUGUAUCAAAUAAGUUGAUAUGAGGCACCAAGAAUUAGUAGGAUUGGACUAGAGUCAAACCCACUGCACUUAUCAAGGCUUUACCAGACCCUACUGUGUCCUUUAUGUGUUGAAGUCUAAGGAUAUCUAGAAACAUAUGGCAUGAUCACUGCCCUCAGGGAGCUGACAGCAUUGUAUGCUAGCAAGAGGCAAAAACAACAAAAGAGAAUGUAACUUAUAACUGACUGAAAGACCAAUGUGUCAUUUUGGAAGCAGAGAAGCCUGAUUUUGGGCAAACUUUUUAAUGAGAACUUGAGUUUUCGUAUCUGUAAGGUGAAAAUAAGACGAUCAACUUAUGGCUGAAAUGGCAAAGAUACAUUUCCUAUGAGACGGCCUUGUAUAUAAU